rnacentral:rRNA from 1 species
CCCUUGUACACACCGCCCGUCACGUCAUGGGAGUCGGCAACACCUGAAGUCGCCGGGCCAACCCGCACGGGGAACAGGCGCCGAGGGUGGGGCUGGUGACUGGGACG